GAUGAACGCUGACGGCGUGCCUAAUACAUGCAAGUCGAGCGAAUGGAUUAAGAGCUUGCUCUUAUGAAGUUAGCGGCGGACGGGUGAGUAACACGUGGGUAACCUGCCCAUAAGACUGGGAUAACUCCGGGAAACCGGGGCUAAUAUCGGAUAACAUUUUGAACCGCAUGGUUCGAAAUUGAAAGGCGGCUUCGGCUGUCACUUAUGGAUGGACCCGCGUCGCAUUAGCUAGUUGGUGAGGUAACGGCUCACCAAGGCAACGAUGCGUAGCCGACCUGAGAGGGUGAUCGGCCACACUGGGACUGAGACACGGCCCAGACUCCUACGGGAGGCAGCAGUAGGGAAUCUUCCGCAAUGGACGAAAGUCUGACGGAGCAACGCCGCGUGAGUGAUGAAGGCUUUCGGGUCGUAAAACUCUGUUGUUAGGGAAGAACAAGUGCUAGUUGAAUAAGCUGGCACCUUGACGGUACCUAACCGGAAAGCCACGGCUAACUACGUGCCAGCCGCCGCAGUAA
rnacentral:rRNA from 1 species